UGACAUUGCAGCAACUAUUUAUUCUGAAAUGUUUGACCAUAGAGAUGAAGGGCAUAGCUCAGAUUCAUUACAUUUUGUAAGUCGCUCUGGAUAAGAGCGUCUGCUAAAUGAUGUAAAUUUCAAAACAUUAUUUACCCUUAAACUCAAUUGAGCCUUGGGAGAUGACAAUUGGGUCAUUAGACAUAUUUCACAGAAGGGCAACCUGACGACCCGAGGUAAGAAUGACUCAGUUGUAUACCUUCCCGUUGAACGGUGUUGCAACAGCACAGUUCAAUGGCUGAAUAAAGAUUUCUUACUCGGGCUGUUUACAUUAGAACAUUGUCACAGAUCGAUUCUGCUUACUUGGCAACUUAAGGGGUGCCUCUCCUAUAGACACAAAUGCGAACGCAGCUGUCUGGUGUGCUUAGUUUGACUAUGAACCAGCAACAAUUUGCGAGAGGGAUGUCUCGCUUCCUCUUCCGUAAUCUGCGGUAGGAAUUCGUAUCCGCCAAGCCCGGUAACGUCACUUCUCCGGGAAGAGAAGAGCUAAAUACGGAUGCCGACAAGAACGAAUGGAAUAAAAAAACAGAUGUAGGACACCAAAUGCCUGCUGACGAGCAGUCUGCCCCCUCUGCUCAAGAUGCAGAGCUGGGGCAGACAGAUCCACAGAAGAAGGUGGACACUGUUAGCAGGUGAGUCAACAAACACCCACAGGGUUUAUUUGUUGUGUUCGUGUUUUGGUUGGGCUGUGUUCACAUCACAGUUGUGUUGUGGUCUCUUGUCUUCUCC